rnacentral:rRNA from 1 species
UGAGUUUGAUCCUGGUUCAGGAUGAACGCUAGCGGCAGGCUUAACACAUGCAAGUCGAGGGGCAGCACGGGUAGCAAUACCUGGUGGCGACCGGCGCAAGGGUGCGUAACGCGUGAGCAACAUGCCCUAUACAGGGGGAUAAUCCAGGGAAACUUGGUCUAAUAUCCCAUAGCAUUUAGAGGAGGCAUCUUCACUAAAUUAAAGCUUCGGUGGUAUAGGAUGGGCUCGCGUGACAUUAGCUAGAUGGUGAGGUAACGGCCCACCAUGGCUAUGAUGUCUAGGGGUUCUGAGAGGAAGACCCCCCACACUGGGACUGAGACACGGCCCAGACUCCUACGGGAGGCAGCAGUGAGGAAUAUUGGACAAUGGAUGGAAAUCUGAUCCAGCCAUGCCGCGUGCAGGAAGACGGCCCUAUGGGUUGUAAACUGCUUUUAUAUGGGAGCAAUAAGGUUUACGAGUAGACCGAUGAGGGUACCAUAUGAAUAAGCAUCGGCUAACUCCGUGCCAGCAGCCGCGGUAAUACGGAGGAUGCGAGCGUUA